rnacentral:rRNA from 1 species
UACGGAGGGUGCAAGCGUUAUCCGGAUUUACUGGGUUUAAAGGGUGCGUAGGCGGGUCUUUAAGUCAGUGGUGAAAACUUCGAGCUUAACUCGAAAACUGCCAUUGAUACUAUUGAUCUUGAAUUUAGUUGAGGUUGGCGGAAUGUGUCGUGUAGCGGUGAAAUGCUUAGAUAUGACACAGAACACCGAUUGCGAAGGCAGCUGGCUAAACUAAAAUUGACGCUGAGGCACGAAAAGUGUGGGGAUCAAACAGG